CUUCCUCAGAGCUGUGAAAUGUUUUUAUUCCACACCACUGGGUCCCACCCUGGCAAGGGAGCAAAAAUGUGCUUCUGCUGCCAGCCCAGAGGAGGGUGUUGCUAGAGCUCAGACUCCUGCUUCUACCACCUCCACAACUUCUAUCCCUAAUAAAUUCUACUACACCCAAAUCAGAAGUGCACUCACAAGAGCAGAAGCUUUGGGCCUGCAGCCAACAGCAAGGCUGAAGCCCAUUCUGGCUCUGUCCUGGAGCUGGCAUCCAUGACCUCAUUUGCCCUUGCCCUCUGUGUGCCAUGUGGGAUGAGCCACAACCUGUGGAUAGCAUCUCCUCAAGCAAACAGUGUCAUAUGGACAGCUUGGUCAGUGGGGACCUUGGGAAACUACUCAGAUAUUUUAGCACUUCAGUCCUAAGUACUUCAUCUGAAUCUAAAGCGCUUGGUUUGAGCUUCGUGGUGCACUGCAUCCUGAGUCUUCAGCUGCCUGAGUUUCUGUCCCUUCCUACCUCAUGCCAGUCACCCCUGCCAAUGGAAGUGAGUUGAAGCUUGAUGGUCUUUAAAGUCCAUUCCAACUGAAGCGGUUCUAUGAUUCUAUAAUGAUUUCCUCAAUGGUCCACUGAUGAGCAAUCAAAACAAAACCCCCAGGACACCAGAGGCAUCCUAGCAGCAGCAGGUCUCAGGGAUUCCCGUGGCUCAGGGAGCCCGUCCAGAUUUCCUGAUACUGGGUGCCUAUGAUCAAGGCUCCUGGAUCCUCACCAUGGGGCAGUGGAAGGCUGGGAGGUGGAUGAAUGCCUGAAAUCUUCCCAUAGAAGGUACCAGUUUUUUGUAACUCUCCUCUACUCAGCUCUGCUCUAGCAAAGCUGAUCUUUAAUAUCUUCAGUGUUUCUCAUCCUUCACAGAAAGUAAUAAUGCUUCUGAUGGCAAAUAAAUUAAACACAUUGACAGCCAUGACUUAAUUUUGGAGAUGAGACAGCAUCAAAAAGAAAAGAGUGCCUUAAAGUAGAGCUUUCCAAGACAAAGCAGCAGUGUGAAAACAAUACCUUUACUCGCUCCAUCACCAUCGAUAUCAUCUUAACACUACAACUCCAGUUCAAAUUAACUCCUUCAGGUUUCCACAGAAGAGAAAAAUCUUCCAGUGGUUUGUUUUCUUUUAAUCUCACCUGCUUAAUAAAGCCAGAGGUACUUGUAAUCUGAAUGCUGCUGUGUCACACUUAGUGAAUGACCCAGGACAUCAAAAUCGCUUCAAGCCAACAAGAAACAAAACCCAAGUUGACCCUGUCCCUCCUGAUGAAGAUAACAGAGCAAACUCAUACCUGGCCAAUAGUAAACAAACCAAGAUAUCUAUGCUUUUAAUGAAUGCUGCAGCACCAAGGGAUUAGAGGGACCAAGGAAUAAAUAGGUCAUCAGCUUGGGGCAACUAUAGAGAUGCUAAGAUGGAAUACGCACUGAUGAAGCUACAGAUGCUCCAUUUGCAGUAACUGCUAUGUGCUGGAGGAGGCAGGUAGUGGUGAAAGGACCUCACCUAUACUAUCUCCCACCUUGGGCUGGGUGCCUCGGCUGCCACGUGCUGCUGCCAUUUUAUCAUAGCACCUUCGUGUGAGUCCGCCCUUUUGUUUAAAGGUUUCCUUUCUUCUGCAUGGCCAUCAUUAAAUUUUACAGAUUAUAAAAGUUCAU